UUCCCCCAAAUCCCACCGCUGUGCCGAGAGCGCCGCCACAUUGACCCAAACCAGCGGCGGCGCAGCUCGUCCAUUGUCCUGCUGCCGGUGCCCUGCUCAAGCCAUCGCCACUGCAGUAGGGCGCCGCUGCCACCGUUGCAGACUUGACCUCCCGCGGCCGCCGCCGCCGCGGCCGCCGGCGGGGCCGGGGGCUUUGACGGACCUGCCUUCCUCGACAGCUUCGGACGGAGGAGGCGGAGGGCUCCGUCGCCGCGACCCUCGCCCGACCUUGCCACCCUGGACGGAUUCUACCCUGCCUCCUCGACCAAGACCAACCCGCCUCAGCUGUAGACGCGUGCUUCAAGUUCAGAAAUCAGAACCAAGGUUCAGUUAGGCUUUUGGUCCUUUGACGCCUGCACCGUGCUGCCAGUUUUUCCAGUUAUUCAACCACGUCUCUAGAAGAACAACGUAGUUGGAUGUACAGUGGGUGGAAUGAACAGGGGCACCAUUCUGAAGAGUGGGUGCGCAACACAACAACUUUUCUUGACCAUGCUUUUCAGAUUAUGCCUAAUGCUGACCGGUUUGGUGUGAAGUGCCCAUGCACAAAGUGUCGUAAUGGAGUCAGGUGGAAGAAACAACUAGUCAGAGUGCACCUUUGUCAGUAUGGUUUCAUGCCAAAUUACACCAGAUGGACAUCGCACGGCGAGUGUCCAAUAGUUGGUACAACCAGAAUGGAAGAGGAUACUCACACUAGUAAUGAACCGCUAGUUGAUAUGUUGGCUGACAUUAUUGGGGCUGAAACACAUUUUGAUGAUGUGGAGAGCGAGCCAACAACAUAUGCCAAGGAGUUCUACAAGAUGUUGUCUACUGCAGAGGAGGCACUGGUUAGAAUUACCUACUCUAAGAAAAAAUGUGAGAAAGCCAAAUGGUGUGCUAACGAUCCUUUUAAAGACGCAUCAUCCUGGUUUGGUUGAGCAAAAAGGAAAACUUGUGUUUGCAUCAACUUGGGAACACUAUAAGCUAAAGCCCAAUGAUGGGGGUCGUCCAAAAGCUGAGGAAAUCGAGGAAGAAUUUUGGGUAACAGAUCUGGUUCCUUUUUGAAGUGUAUUGUUGUAGUAAAUAUAAGUAACAGUUGAUUUCUUUUACAAGUGUACUACUGUAGUAAGUAUAAGUAACAACUUAUUUUCUGUGACCUAUAUUGCAACUGAGGUUUAGGCAUGAGGCUGAGUAUGAAGCAAGUGCAAAGCUCCAUAUUGGCAGGUGUUGCAACCAAC